rnacentral:rRNA from 1 species
GUAGUCAUAUGCUUGUCUCAAAGAUUAAGCCAUGCAUGUCUAAGUAUAAAUAACUUUUAUAUUGUGAAACUGCGAAUGGCUCAUUAAAUCAGUUAUGAUCUACGUGACAAAUUCUUUACUACUUGGAUAACCGUGGUAAUUCUAGAGCUAAUACAUGCAAAAAAGCCCUGACUUACGAAGGGGUGCACUUAUUAGAUAAAACCAACGCGGGGUAAAACCUGUUUCUUGGUGAAUCAUAAUAAUUAAGCGGAUCGCAUGGCCUUGUGCCGGCGACGGUCCACUCGAUUUUCUGCCCUAUCAUGGUUGAGAUUGUAAGAUAGAGGCUUACAAUGCCUACAACGGGUAACGGGGAAU